UGUAAGCGUAUACCAAAGUUGUUGCAGCUAAAACGCUCGUAGUCGGAAUUUGGCAGUUCCGGAUGUGUGCACGUCGUGUGCGCACUUCGCGGGGAUUGCUUUUGUGGUCUUGCGUAGGAUGAGGCACUUUUAUUAGUGAACGUCCUCACGCAACCACUUUUUACUGUGAGAAAAUCAGAGUGCUCAAAGCAGGCAUUUGCCGUGAAUGUAUUAGCAUGGAAUAAUAGAAUAGGACUUGGUUCUAUUUUGUUGGUUUGUUGGGACUGAGUAAUGAUUAAGAGGGACAGUUGGGGGCAUUUGUAUUUCGGUGCUAGAGGUGAAAUUCUUAGAUUACCGAAAGACAAACUGCUGCGAAAGCGUCUGCCAAGGAUGUUUUCAUUGA
rnacentral:rRNA from 1 species